UACGUAGGGGGCAAGCGUUGUCCGGAAUCAUUGGGCGUAAAGCGCGUGUAGGCGGCUCGAAAAGUCUGGUGUGAAAUCUUGGGGCUCAACCCCAAGCUGUCACUGGAUACUGUCGGGCUUGAGUCCGGAAGAGGAGUGUGGAAUUCCUGGUGUAGCGGUGGAAUGCGCAGAUAUCAGGAGGAACACCAAUGGCGAAGGCAGCACUCUGGGCCUGCACUGACGCUCAUGCACGAAAGCGUGGGGAGCAAACAGG
rnacentral:rRNA from 1 species